AUGGUGAUCGCCGACUUGGGCUGUUCUUCUGGCCCAAAUGCGCUAACACUGGUAUCGACUGCCGUCGAGGCCAUCAUGAGCCACUCCCUUCAGUUCCAGCAUCCACCACCAGAAGUGUCUGUGCUCCUCAAUGACCUUCCUCACAAUGACUUCAAUAUGGUUGUGAAGAGCCUGGUCACGCUCCGUCAAAGCAACAACAAGUUUGUUCUUGUGACUGGUGUCACACCAGGGUCGUUUUACGAGAGGCUCUUCACUAGUGACUCCAUGCAUCUUAUAUGCUCAUCCAACAACUUGCAUUUGCUCUCAAAGGCUCCUGAAGAUUUGUCGAGGAACCAUAUCCCUGCGUACGACACGGAUGAACAUGCUAGGCAUGAAAGGCUCCGUAUGGUCCGUAAGGCUUAUGCGCGGCAGUUCAGGAAAGACUUUACCCUCUUCCUGAAGCUGAGAGACAAAGAAUUGGUUCCAGGAGGCCGAAUGGUUCUUUCCCUUGUAGGGAGGUGUUCUGAUGUAAUCGCCUCCAAUUUCUUUCACAUCUGGGAAACCGCAGCUCAGAUUCUAGGUGUUAUCGCCUCAAAGGGUGUCAUCGCCAAGGAGAAAUUUGAUUCUUUCUACAUUCCUAUGUAUGGACCCUCUGCUGAAGAGCUGAAGGAGAUCAUCGAAGAACAGAGCCCAUUUUCUAUCAGGGAUAUGCGGGUGUAUGAUCCUAGGGCUGAUAUGGACAGAGCGCUUUUCACCCCAAGCUGGUCGGCGAAACAGAAGGGAGCCAUAUUUGAGCCGAUAAUAGUCGAGCAUUUUGGAGCAGUCAUGGAUGAAUUUGAGAGGGUCACAGAAAGGCGCUUGAGCCUUGAGGGAGGCAUGCAAGGCGAUCAUGCCAGAACCUCGCGAGCUGUGCUGGCUGUAUCCCUUGCAGAGGCAUGA
rnacentral:rRNA from 1 species